rnacentral:rRNA from 1 species
ACGGAGGGUCCGAGCGUUAAUCGGAAUUACUGGGCGUAAAGCGCGCGUAGGCGGUUUGUUAAGUCAGAUGUGAAAGCCCUGGGCUCAACCUAGGAACUGCACCUGAUACUGGCAAACUAGAGUACAGAAGAGGGUGGUGGAAUUUCCUGUGUAGCGGUGAAAUGCGUAGAUAUAGGAAGGAACAUCAGUGGCGAAGGCGACCACCUGGUCUGAUACUGACGCUGAGGUGCGAAAGCGUGGGGAGCAAACAGG